UUUUUUUUUUUUUUUGCAUUUCUUGACCAUUCUUGAACUUGAAUUUCUGACGAGUUUGUCUGAUCUAAUGCUGCCUCCUGGAUUCUGUCUGAUCUAAUACUGCCAUCUGUUUAAAUGAUACAUCCAUCUGAAACACCUGUGUUUGAUCCACUAAUUCAUUGACUGAUUACAAGAGCAUGAGCUAGUUGUUUACACAGGUUGCACCAACAGAAGAAAUCAGUCAAUUAAAUCACAACCAAUAACAUCGACCGCAUCCAGGCUAUAUUCUAGCGUUUGAGGUAGGAAUUUACCAAGCAGAUGUAAGUCAUGAUGAUGUAUAAUCAAGCUCGCAGUUUCACAAACUGCACAAGGAACGCACAUCACCCAGCUAUCAGUAGCAGUAACCAAAUGAACAUUGGCUGACAAUUUAUCAGACAGGCUGUGAGGCACAGCAAAUCGACAUGACAGAUAAGCAUGAAUAUCAACCAUGGGUGACGCAACACUCAUCAACCAUCGCACACAUAGGAAGUCAUACCAAUCACAUCACUCAUCAACCAUUGCACACACAGGAAGUCAUCAUCAAUCACAACAUUCAUCGACCAUCGCACACAUAGGAAGUCAUGACCAAUCGCACUCAUACGGUACUUUCAAUAAGAGGUAUCGGCUGUGCUUCAAUUUAUGGAUGACAUGGGUACAAUCGACAAUAGCCAUUUAAGCUGAGCAGUCAACAGCCAAGCAAAAUGCUUCACUUUGGCUCAGUGAAGAACUUGUUAAUCGCUGGCAUGAUUUCAGGGGUCUUGUCACGCACAAAGCUCCUGAGACC
rnacentral:lncRNA from 1 species